UGGUGACGAUAGCGAAGAGGUCACACCCGUUCCCAUUCCGAACACGGCAGUUAAGCUCUUCAGCGCCGAUGGUAGUUGGGGGUUUCCCCCUGUGAGAGUAGGACGUCGCCAAGCU
rnacentral:rRNA from 1 species